rnacentral:rRNA from 1 species
UUAACGUCAUUAAGUUAAGUACACCCUGCUCAAUGAAUAUUAAAUAGCUGCAGAAUUUUAACUGUACUAAGGUAGCAUAAUAAUUUGCCUUUUAAUUGAAGGCUAGAAUAAAAGGGAUUACGAAAUUUUAUCUGUCUCUUUUUUUUUCCUUGAAAUUACUUCUAUAAUAAAAAUUAUUAUAAUAAAUAAGAAAGACGACAAGACCCUAUCGAACUUCACUAAAGUUUAGCUGGGGCGGCAAUUUAUUGAAACAUAUCUUCUUUAAUUAUUUAAUAUUAAACAAACAAGUUACCGUAGGGAUAACAGCAAUAUUUAUAUUUAGAGAUCUUAUCAAAAUUUAAGUUUUUGACCUCGAUGUUGAAUUAGAAUGUUUCUUAUAAAAGCAAAAUUUUACAAAGUAAGUCUGUUCGACUUUUAAAAUUCU